rnacentral:rRNA from 1 species
GAGUUUGAUCCUGGCUCAGGAUGAACGCUGGCGGCGUGCUUAACACAUGCAAGUCGAGCGAAGCAUUAAAACCGAUUUCUUCGGAAUGAAGUUUUAAUGACUGAGCGGCGGACGGGUGAGUAACGCGUGGGUGACCUGCCUCAUACAGGGGGAUAACAGACAGAAAUGUCUGCUAAUACCGCAUAAGCGCACAGUGCUGCAUGGCACAGUGUGAAAAACUCCGGUGGUAUGAGAUGGACCCGCGUCUGAUUAGCUAGUUGGUAAGGUAACGGCUUACCAAGGCGACGAUCAGUAGCCGGCCUGAGAGGGUGAACGGCCACAUUGGGACUGAGACACGGCCCAAACUCCUACGGGAGGCAGCAGUGGGGAAUAUUGCACAAUGGGGGAAACCCUGAUGCAGCGACGCCGCGUGAAGGAAGAAGUAUUUCGGUAUGUAAACUUCUAUCAGCAGGGAGGAAAAUGACGGUACCUGACUAAGAAGCCCCGGCUAACUACGUGCCAGC